rnacentral:misc_RNA from 1 species
UUCACCGUUGGAUUGCAAAACUCAUGAUCACGGUCAGCACCAAUUGGCAAAGCUAAUUCCCACAUCAGAUCAUUGGAACAAAGUGGUAAAAUGGGAUCGUUCAUCAUCCUCAAUUCCGAUUCAGUCCUCUUUGACCCACCGAAGAAGGGUUGGUGCAAUAUUAGCCCUUCAAUCUUUAAGGGCUCUAGAUGUUCGACUGUCUCAGCUACUCGUAGUCCAGCAUGGUAAGCUAUAUUAGCGCCGGCGCUAGCCCCCAUAAGGAAACAUUUUCUGAGAUCAGCAAAGUCUCUCAACCACUCAUCAGGGCUUGAUUUAAUCCAGUGUAAUGCCUCCACAGCGUCCUCAUAGGCAGCUGGAAGACGGUGCUCGGGGGCGAGGCGAUACUCUAUGGAAACGACAACAGCAGUGAGCUCAAUAGCAAGGCUUGCACAAUAAUCGUGGAAAAAGGUUGAAGCUGCGCUGAAAAGUAUGAACCCUCCUCCGUGGAACCAAACAAUAAGAGG